rnacentral:rRNA from 1 species
GCAUAUCAAUAAGCGGGGGG